rnacentral:rRNA from 1 species
GACGAACGCUGGCGGCGUGCCUAAUACAUGCAAGUCGAACGCAGUGGGGACGGGUGAGUAACACGUGGGUAACCUCCCAUCAGAGGGGAUAACACUUGGAAACAGGUGCUAAACCGAUACUGAUGGAUGGACCCGCGGUGCAUUAGCUAGUUGGUGAGGGAACGGCUCACCAAGGCCACGAUGCAUAGCCGACCUGAGAGUGGGUUGGGCCACACGGGGCGUGAGUCCAGGCCCAGAUUCCGGAGGGAGGCAGCAGUAGGGAAUCUGCGGCAAUGGACGAAAGUCUGACCGAGCAACGCCGCGUGAGUGAAGAAGGUUUUCGGAUCGUAAAACUCUGAUGUUAGAGAAGCGGUAUCUAACCAGAAAGCCACGGCUAACUACGUGCCAGCAGCCGCGGUAAUU